rnacentral:rRNA from 1 species
AACGAACGCUGGCGGCAUGCCUAACACAUGCAAGUCGAACGAGACCUUCGGGUCUAGUGGCGCACGGGUGCGUAACGCGUGGGAACCUGCCCUUAGGUUCGGAAUAACUCCCCGAAAGGGGUGCUAAUACCGGAUAAUGUCUUCGGACCAAAGAUUUAUCGCCUUUGGAUGGGCCCGCGUUGGAUUAGGUAGUUGGUAGGGUAAAAGCCUACCAAGGCGACGAUCCAUAGCUGGUCUGAGAGGAUGAUCAGCCACACUGGGACUGAGACACGGCCCAGACUCCUACGGGAGGCAGCAGUGGGGAAUAUUGGACAAUGGGCGAAAGCCUGAUCCAGCAAGGCCGCGUGAGUGAUGAAGGCCUUAGAGUUGUAAAGCUCUUUUACCCGGGAUGAUAAUGACAGUACCGGGAGAAUAAGCUCCGGCUAACUCCGU